ensembl:lncRNA
UCAGGUUACCAGUCUUUAACAUGCAGUAAUACCAUGCUCAACAGUAGUAUUCAGUACUGUCCAGUACUUAUCUGAGAAAAAAAAUAAAAUAAAAUUGGGGGAAAAAAACAAAAAAAAAACAAAACAAAAAAAAAAAACCCACAGCUUUUAAGAUUCAGCGCAAACAGUGCACUCCAUAUAGAUCUUGUACAAUUUCACAAUACAGUCUCUGAAACUAAAAAUCCACUUCGUUGAGCAAACAAAGAAAGCUUAAGCAUUUUAGUUUCACUUUCAGUGUCAAGUCCUUAACCAUAAGGCACAAAUAAGGCCAAGUUACAGGACAGAUGUGCAUGAAGUCAUCUACGUUUUAAAGCAACAGUCCCAUUACAGUUUGACCCCAAGAAAUGUGGAUUUUGAAUUAUUUUCAGAAGCACCCAGAGUAACAAAUCUAAAAGCAAUAGUAUUUAUAAGGUUUAUUAAAUGGCUGAAAUGCAUGUUUAUGCCGUUGACAUUCACCGCUUAGUAUCCAGCCUGAAAGACAAGAGCGCAACAUUAGUCCAAGUUACAUGAUGUAGAUGAUUGUAGAUCAAUUAUAAAUAAAAACAUUUUGCAAACAUACCUAUGCAUAGACUCUGUGGGCAGAAGAGGGUUGCCCAGCCCCACCUGGUCUAUAACCAGGCAAAUUCACAGGGGGUCUGGAGUCUCUGAAGCCCUGGGGACCUGGGAAGGUUGCUACCUGCUGGCCAGGAGGGGGAGAAGGGAGAGCGUGUUCUUUCAAGUAGUGAUUGUCUUGCCAGAAGUCUCGGCCCUGCUCGUAGUUCUGGCUGAAGUGACUGACUGUGCCAGGUGGGUACUGGCCGGUCAGGAACCUGUAGUCAUAGUAGGGAUAAGGAUGACCAAAGAAUCCCCCAAGGUCAACGGGUGGAAAGGGAUAAGAAGGGUAUCCAGGGCCAAGAGGCACAUCGAAAGGGUGGCCAGUUGGGUAGCCCAUUUCUUCCCUCUCCGACUGGCUCGCCCCAUUUUCAGCGUUUCUCUCAAAAUGGGAUAGCUCUCCCGCCUGGUACGAUAGUUCGGGCAGUGGAGGUAAAAUCACACUCGUCUCACCAGGUCUACUGGAUCCAAGGUCACCAGUGGCAGCUGACGCGCCUUGACUUCCAGAGGAUAAACUGGGAGGUUUUACAAGCCAAUCCACUUCUGAACAAGAGCAAGGCAGAGAAAUAGCAUUAAAAUCAUACGCAAUUAUUUUGAUUGCCCAUCAAAUUUUAAGUUACCGAUUGUAGAACUGUGCAUUAUUAGAGUUGUUACCAGGCGGAGGAGGACCACCAGACUGUGUAGAGCUGACGGAGUAUCCCGGCUGGCCAGGUCUAGAACUGGAGCCGGCUGAUCCCGCUGCCUCGCUCUGAACAGCAGGCUGAGAGUAACUAGCAUCUGGGGGGGAGGCAUCUCUAGAGGGAGCAAUGAUGGGUGCAGCAAGUCCACCUGGGUAAUAGGCAUGAUGCACUCCCAGGUUAGACGGAAAAUUAGCAGCAUUCAAGCCGCUGCCGCUUUGGGGAGGACUAGGAUUUUGGCCUAGGCACAAGAGGACACAAGUUAGUCAGAAGAUUCAACUACACAGUCAGUGUUUUCGAGGAGCAGAUGACAGCCCACCUUUCUUAACAGGAACACAGCAUAUAUCCGCAAUCAGCACAACAAAAAGGGAAACCCUGAAACACAAGACACCAGGAUCAGCAGGGAUUUUCUACGCUCCACCAAACAGGCCAUUUCAAAGCCAGAUUGUGACAUACCCCAAGAAGAACCGUGCAGUCGUCAUUG